GAUGAACGCUAGCUACAGGCUUAACACAUGCAAGUCGAGGGACCGGCGCACGGGUGAGUAACACGUAUCCAACCUGCCCUUUACUCGGGGAUAGCCUUUCGAAAGAAAGAUUAAUACCCGAUGUACAGGAUGAGGAUGCGUUCCAUUAGGUUGUUGGUGAGGUAACGGCACACCAAGCCUUCGAUGGAUAGGGGUUCUGAGAGGAAGGUCCACCACAUUGGAACGGAGACACGGGCCAAACUACUACGGGAGGAAGAAGUGAGGAAUAUGGGUCAAUGGGCGUUAGCCUGAACCAGCCAAGUAGCGUGAAGGAUGAAGGCUUAGGGGUAGUAAACUUCUUUUAUAUAAGAAUAUGUAUUAUAUGAAUAAGGAUCGGCUAACUCCGUGCCAGCAGCCGCGGUAAUUC
rnacentral:rRNA from 1 species